AGGUAUAUGGUGGUUAGAGGGGGUCAGGUGGACUGGUGGUUAGAGGGGGUCAGGUGGACUGGUGGUUAGAGGGGGGGUCAGGUAGAUUGGUGGUUAGAGGGGGUCAGGUAGACUGGUGGUUAGAGGGGGUCGGGUAGACUGGUGAUUAGAGGGGGUCAGGUAGACAGGUGGUUAGAGGGCGUCAGGUGGACUGGUGGUUAGAGGGGGGGUUCAAGUAGACUGGUGGUUAGAGGGGAGGGGGGGUCAGGUAGAUUAGUGGUUAGAGGGGUUCAGGUAGACUGGUGGUUAGAGGGGGUCAGGUAGACUGGUGGUUAGAGGGUUCAGGUAGAUUGGUGGUUGGAGGGGGGGGUCAGGUAGACUGGUGGUUAGAGGGGGUCAGGUAGACUGGUGGUUAGAGGGGGUCAGGUAGACUGGUGGUUAGAGGGGGUCAGGUGGACUGGUGGUUAGAGGGGGGAUCAGGUAGAUUGGUGGUUAGAGGGGGUCAGGUGGGCUGGUGGUUAGAGGGGGGGGGUCAGGUAGAUUGGUGGUUAGAGGGGGUCAGGUAGACUGGUGGUUAGAGGGGGUCAGGUAGACUGGUGGUUAGAGGGGUCAGGUAGACUGGUGUUAGGGGGGUCAGGUGGACUGGUGGUUAGAGG
rnacentral:lncRNA from 1 species